CAGAAUGCGUAGACGGGGAGAAGUAAAGACAUGAUGCUUUCAGAGAGAACCAUGACCUGGUGAAAGUGGUUCAAGCCUCUCAUGCUUGAAAUGCACCCCUGAGUCCUUUGUUGAACCUUACUUACAAGUAGGCGAAGGCGGCAAUUCCUCCGUUAUCGGGAAAAGAGUUGGGAAUGAAAUGUAUCAGCAGGACUUUACUUGCGUGAGAAAUUGCAUUCCAAACAGAGUGGAACCGCGCGCAGUUAAGCGUCUCUGUC
rnacentral:ncRNA from 1 species